rnacentral:rRNA from 1 species
AGAGCGAACGCUGGCGGCAGGCUUAACACAUGCAAGUCGAGCGGGCGUAGCAAUACGUCAGCGGCGGACGGGUGAGUAACGCGUGGGAACGUACCUUUUGGUUCGGAACAACACAGGGAAACUUGUGCUAAAUACCGGAUAAGCCCUUACGGGGAAAGAUUUAUCGCCGAAAGAUCGGCCCGCGUCUGAUUAGCUAGUUGGUGAGGUAACGGCUCACCAAGGCGACGAUCAGUAGCUGGUCUGAGAGGAUGAUCAGCCACAUUGGGACUGAGACACGGCCCAAACUCCUACGGGAGGCAGCAGUGGGGAAUAUUGGACAAUGGGCGCAAGCCUGAUCCAGCCAUGCCGCGUGAGUGAUGAAGGCCCUAGGGUUGUAAAGCUCUUUUGUGCGGGAAGAUAAUGACGGUACCGCAAGAAUAAGCCCGGCUAACUUCGCGCCAGCAGCCGC